AUGCUCCUCCGCGCCAGGCUCCCCCACCUCCGCCGCCGCGCGGCGGCGCUGCCCCUGUCGCUGGCGCCGCGCCGGCUCUCGGCCGAGCCUCCGCCGGGCGUCGAAUGGAUAGACACGGUCGACUACCUGGACGAGACGGGGGAGGUCCUCUCGUCCGCGCCCGGGGCGCGCCCCGCUGUGCCGGGCGCCGACCCCACCAUCCUUUCCGGCUCCUCCGCCCACCCGCUCCCGCGCCCCGCCGCGGCGGCCCGCCUCGCCGCGCUCGCGCUCCGCAACCGCUCGGGGCCGUCCCUCUCCGCCGCGCUCUCCGCGCUCCCCUCCCAGCCCGACCCCGCACUCCUCCUCCUCGCCGCCAACUCCCUCCCCGCCUCCGACCCCACCCCGCUCCUCUCGCUCGUCGGCUGGGCCCGCCACCAGCCCUGGUUCGUCCCCUCCGACGAUCUGUCCUCCAUCGUGGCCGCGCGUCUGUCGCCGGCCACCCACUCCUCCGACCUCAUGUCGCUCUUCGACGACGCCCUCUUGCACCCGGAGCCGGCCUCUUUCCCCAAGACCCUCAACGCCGUCGUCUCCGCGCUCUCCACCCACGGCCUCCUCGAGCCCGCGUUCUACUGCUUCAAGCGCCUCCGAGACGCCGGCUUUCAUGGCCUCCAGACGUCCACCUGCAAUGCCCUCCUCUCGCUGCUGCUCGCGAGGGGGCUCGCCUUCAAGGCCUUCGAGGUGCUCGAUGAAAUGUCUGUGGCGGGCUGCGAGCUCGACAAGGGCACUUACGAGCUUGCUGUGCCGGCGCUUGCACGUGCUGGAAGGAUCGACGCAUCACGCAAGCUGUUUGAUGAAAUGAGACAGAGGGAUGGCGUCGGGCCUGCCUCGCCGGGGGUGUACAGCACUAUGGUCGAUGUGCUGUCCAAAUCAGGGAGGCUUGACGCUGCGAUGGGGAUGUACAGGGAGAUGGUGGCAGUGGGGCACAGGGUGAGCACGGCUGUGAGCACCACCAUGGUGGAGGGGCUUGUGAAGGCUGGGAAGCUGGAUGCAGGGAUGGAGCUUUGGGAGGAGAUGCGGCGAGGAGGGCUACGACCAAGCUUUGGGUUGUACACCAUGGUAGUCGAGGCAAAUGCACGGUCAGGGAGGCUGGAUGUCGCUGCGAAGCUGUUUGGUGAUAUGGAGAAGUCUGGCUUCUUCCCUACUCCUGCCACAUAUGCUUGUUUGGUCGAAAUGCAUGCUUCAGCGGGGAAUGUGGAUGUAGCAAUGAGGAUGUACCACUCGAUGGCAAAUGCAGGGACAAGGCCAGGGCUGAGCACAUUUACAGCAUUACUGACCAUGCUGGCGAAUAAGAAGCUGCUUGAUUUGGCUGCAAAGGUGCUGCUUGAGAUGAAGGCAUCAGGGUUCCCCAUUGAAGUGACCGCGAGCGACCUGUUGAUGAUUUACAUCAAAGAUGGGUCGACGGAGCUUGCUCUCCGGUGGCUGCGGUUCAUGGGUUCUGCCGGGAUACGAACCAACAAUUUCAUCAUAAGGCAGCUCUUUGAGUCUUGCAUGAAGAUGGGGCUGUAUGACUCGGCACGGCCACUGCUCGAGACGUAUGUCGGUGCAGCGGCAAAGGUGGACAUGAUACUCUACACUUCAAUCCUCGCACAUUUGGUGCGGUGCCAGGAUGAGGACAGCGAACGGGCGAUCAUGAACAUCCUGAGCGUGAGCAGGCACAAGGCGCACGACUUCAUGUGCGGGUUGUUCACCGGGCCAGAGCAAAGGAAGAAGCCCGUGCUCUCCUUUGUCCGGGAGUUCUUCCAAGGCAUUGACUAUGAGAAUGAGGAGAGUGCGGCGAGGUACUUUGUGAACGUGCUCCUCAACUACCUGGUGCUCAUGGGGCAGAUGAACCGUGCACGAUGCGUCUGGAAGGUCGCUUAUGAGAACAAGUUGUUCCCCAAGGCCAUCGUAUUCGACCAGCACAUCGCCUGGUCCCUGGACAUCCGGAACCUGUCAGUGGGAGCGGCGCUCGUCUCGACAGUGCACACGCUGCACCGGUUCAGGAAGCGGAUGCUCUACUACGGGGUCGUGCCACGGCGCAUCAAGCUGGUGACAGGGCCGACGCUCAAGAUGGUGGUGGCCCAGGUGCUCGCUUCGCUGGAGUCGCCAUUUGAGGUGAGCAAGGUUGUCCUGCGCGCGCCCGGGGACUCGGUGCUCGAGUGGUUCAAGAAGCCGAUCGUGCAGCAGUUCCUGCUCAACGAGAUACCAUCGAAGUCCGAUGUCCUGAUGCACAAGCUGAACGUUAUGUUCCCAAGCUCGGCGCCAGAGGCCCGGUCUCUGGCCCUUCCCAGGUCCCUUGGCAUGUCACGGUGA
rnacentral:rRNA from 1 species